rnacentral:rRNA from 1 species
UACGUAGGGUGCUAGCGUUGUCCGGAUUUAUUGGGCGUAAAGGGCUCGUAGGCGGCGUGUCGCGUUGGGAGUGAAAGCCCGCUGCUUAACGGCGGGUUGGCUUCCGGUACGGGCAUCGCUGGAGUGCGGCAGGGGAGACUGGAAUUCCUGGUGUAGCGGUGGAAUGCGCAGAUAUCAGGAGGAACACCGGUGGCGAAGGCGGGUCUCUGGGCCGUUACUGACGCUGAGGAGCGAAAGCGUGGGGAGCGAACAGG